rnacentral:rRNA from 1 species
GUAGGUGGCAAGCGUUGUCCGGAGUUAUUGGGCGUAAAGCGCGCGCAGCGGGCCUUUAAGUCUGAUGUGAAAGCCACGGGCUCAACCGUGAGGGUCAUUGGAAACUGGGGGACUUGAGUACAGAAGAGGAAAGCGGAAUUCCAAGUGUAGCGGUGAAAUGCGUAGAGAUUUGGAGGAACACCAGUGGCGAAGGCGGCUUUCUGGUCUGUAACUGACGCUGAGGCGCGAAAGCGUGGGGAGCAAACAGGAUUAGAUACCCUGGUAGUCCACGCCGUAAACGAUGAGUGCUAAGUGUUAGGGGGUUUCCGCCCCUUAGUGCUGCAGCUAACGCAUUAAGCACUCCGCCUGGGGAGUACGGCCGCAAAGGCUG